GGAACAAUGGCAACUUCCAUAUACACAUUUUUUUGGAAAGGUGAACAAAAUCAGUGAAAACUCAAUACCAUCCUCCUCAUCGACCUGAGGUCC
rnacentral:snoRNA from 1 species